CUCAGUCAUGUGACUCCAUCUGACUGCAAAGAAGGCUGGGAAAUGUCAAUGUAGGCAGCCAAGUUCCUGGCCACUAUUCUAUUACUUUGAAAGAAGAAAAUGGACUUAAGACGAGGGAUGUGGCUCAGACAUCUAGGAGAUCUGAAGUGGUACCAUCCAAACCCCAGGGAAAUAAGAUGCAGCACCAAGGUACCAAGGAAAAGGGUAGAAGCACUCCGAGUGGACCUGAGAUGAACUUUUCACCACCCUUGAAGAAUGAGGACUUGAACUAGUGAUCACUUUCAGUUUUAGGAAAAUAAGGUGGCCAGGUGAGGUGGCUCACGCCUGUACUCCCAGCACUUUGGGAGGCCAAGAUGGGCGGAUCACGAGGUCAGGAAUUUGAGACUAGCCUGGCCAACAUGGUGAAACCUCGUCUCUACUAAAAAUACAAAAAAUUAGCUGGGCAAGGUGGCGGGCACCUGUAACCCCAGCUGCUCUGGAGGCUGAGGCAGGAAAAUCGCUUCCUGGGAGGCAGAGGUUGCAGUGAGCCGAGAUCGCGCCAUUGCACUCCAGGCUGGGCGACAGUGCGAGGCUCUCAAAACAAACAAACAAACAAACAAAAAAAACCCACAAAAAACAAAAAUAAGAUUACAUCUCUUAAGUCUCUAAAUUGGGAAAUGAAAUUCACACCUGCAACAUCUUUAAUGAUCCAAUGGAAGGAAGUCCAAACUCCUUGACCAGGGUUUGACAAAUUAUGGCCCAUGGGCCAAAUUUGGUUGGCUGCCUGUUUUUGUUAUUAAAGAGUUUUUGGAAUACU